CCUACGGGAGGCAGCAGUGGGGGAUAUUGCACAAUGGGGGAAACCCUGAUGCAGCGACGCCGCGUGAGUGAAGAAGUAUUUCGUUACGUAAAGCUCUAUCAGCAGGGAAGAAAAUGACCGUUCCUUAGUAAGAAGCCCCCGCUAACUACGGGCCCGCAGCCGCGGGAAUACGGAGGGGGCAAGCGGUAUCCGGGUUUACUGGGUGGAAAGGGAGCGUAGACGGCAGUGCAAGUCUGGAGUGAAAGGCCGGGGCUCAACCCCCGGACUGCUCUGGAAACUGUGCGGCUGGAGUGCAGGAGGGGCAAGUGGAAUUCCUAGUGUAGCGGUGAAAUGCGUAGAUAUUAGGAGGAACACCAGUGGCGAAGGCGGCCUACUGGACUGUAACUGACGUUGAGGCCCGAAAGCGUGGGGAGCAAACAGGAUUAGAUACCCUAGUAGUC
rnacentral:rRNA from 1 species